GGUUAAGCGACUAAGCGUACACGGUGGAUGCCUAGGCAGUCAGAGGCGAUGAAGGGCGUGCUAAUCUGCGAAAAGCGUCGGUAAGCUGAUAUGAAGCGUUAUAACCGACGAUACCCGAAUGGGGAAACCCAGUGCAAUACGUUGCACUAUCGUUAGAUGAAUACAUAGUCUAACGAGGCGAACCGGGGGAACUGAAACAUCUAAGUACCCCGAGGAAAAGAAAUCAACCGAGAUUCCCCCAGUAGCGGCGAGCGAACGGGGAGGAGCCCAGAGUCUGAAUCAGUUUGUGUGUUAGUGGAAGCGUCUGGAAAGUCGCACGGUACAGGGUGAUAGUCCCGUACACCAAAAUGCACAGGCUGUGAACUCGAUGAGUAGGGCGGGACACGUGACAUCCUGUCUGAAUAUGGGGGGACCAUCCUCCAAGGCUAAAUACUCCUGACUGACCGAUAGUGAACCAGUACCGUGAGGGAAAGGCGAAAAGAACCCCGGCGAGGGGAGUGAAAUAGAACCUGAAACCGUGUACGUACAAGCAGUGGGAGCACCUUCGUGGUGUGACUGCGUACCUUUUGUAUAAUGGGUCAGCGACUUAUAUUUUGUAGCAAGGUUAACCGAAUAGGGGAGCCGUAGGGAAACCGAGUCUUAACUGGGCGUCUAGUUGCAAGGUAUAGACCCGAAACCCGGUGAUCUAGCCAUGGGCAGGUUGAAGGUUGGGUAACACUAACUGGAGGACCGAACCGACUAAUGUUGAAAAAUUAGCGGAUGACUUGUGGCUGGGGGUGAAAGGCCAAUCAAACCGGGAGAUAGCUGGUUCUCCCCGAAAGCUAUUUAGGUAGCGCCUCGUGAACUCAUCUUCGGGGGUAGAGCACUGUUUCGGCUAGGGGGCCAUCCCGGCUUACCAAACCGAUGCAAACUCCGAAUACCGAAGAAUGUUAUCACGGGAGACACACGGCGGGUGCUAACGUCCGUCGUGAAGAGGGAAACAACCCAGACCGCCAGCUAAGGUCCCAAAGUCAUGGUUAAGUGGGAAACGAUGUGGGAAGGCACAGACAGCCAGGAUGUUGGCUUAGAAGCAGCCAUCAUUUAAAGAAAGCGUAAUAGCUCACUGGUCGAGUCGGCCUGCGCGGAAGAUGUAACGGGGCUAAACCAUGCACCGAAGCUGCGGCAGCGACACUUAGGUGUUGUUGGGUAGGGGAGCGUUCUGUAAGCCGUUGAAGGUGACCUGUGAGGGUUGCUGGAGGUAUCAGAAGUGCGAAUGCUGACAUAAGUAACGAUAAUGCGGGUGAAAAACCCGCACGCCGGAAGACCAAGGGUUCCUGUCCAACGUUAAUCGGGGCAGGGUGAGUCGACCCCUAAGGCGAGGCUGAAAAGCGUAGUCGAUGGGAAACAGGUUAAUAUUCCUGUACUUGGUGUUACUGCGAAGGGGGGACGGAGAAGGCUAGGCUGGCCGGGCGACGGUUGUCCCGGUUUAAGCGUGUAGGGGGAGUGACCAGGUAAAUCCGGUUGCUUAUCAACCCUGAGGCGUGAUGACGAUGCACCACGGUGCAGAAGCAGUUGAUGCCAUGCUUCCAGGAAAAGCCUCUAAGCAUCAGGUAACAUUAAAUCGUACCCCAAACCGACACAGGUGGUCAGGUAGAGAAUACUCAGGCGCUUGAGAGAACUCGGGUGAAGGAACUAGGCAAAAUGGUGCCGUAACUUCGGGAGAAGGCACGCUGGCGUUAGGUGAAAGGACUAGCUCCUGGAGCUGAAGCCAGUCGCAGAUACCAGCUGGCUGCAACUGUUUAAUAAAAACACAGCACUGUGCAAACACGAAAGUGGACGUAUACGGUGUGACGCCUGCCCGGUGCUGGAAGGUUAAUUGAUGGGGUCAGCCGCAAGGGGAAGCUCUUGAUCGAAGCCCCAGUAAACGGCGGCCGUAACUAUAACGGUCCUAAGGUAGCGAAAUUCCUUGUCGGGUAAGUUCCGACCUGCACGAAUGGCGUACUGAUGGCCAGGCUGUCUCCACCCGAGACUCAGUGAAAUUGAACUCGCUGUGAAGAUGCAGUGUACCCGCGGCAAGACGGAAAGACCCCGUGAACCUUUACUAUAGCUUGACACUGAACAUUGAGCCUUGAUGUGUAGGAUAGGUGGGAGGCCUUGAAGUGUGGACGCCAGUCUGCAUGGAGCCAACCUUGAAAUACCACCCUUUAAUGUUUGAUGUUCUAACUCGGCCCCAUGAUCUGGGGUGAGGACAGUGUCUGGUGGGUAGUUUGACUGGGGCGGUCUCCUCCCAAAGAGUAACGGAGGAGCACGAAGGUUAGCUAAUCACGGUCGGACAUCGUGAGGUUAGUGCAAAGGCAUAAGCUAGCUUGACUGCGAGAGUGACGGCUCGAGCAGGUACGAAAGUAGGUCUUAGUGAUCCGGUGGUUCUGAAUGGAAGGGCCAUCGCUCAACGGAUAAAAGGUACUCCGGGGAUAACAGGCUGAUACCGCCCAAGAGUUCAUAUCGACGGCGGUGUUUGGCACCUCGAUGUCGGCUCAUCACAUCCUGGGGCUGAAGUAGGUCCCAAGGGUAUGGCUGUUCGCCAUUUAAAGUGGUACGCGAGCUGGGUUUAGAACGUCGUGAGACAGUUCGGUCCCUAUCUGCCGUGGGCGUUGGAAGAUUGAGAGGGGCUGCUCCUAGUACGAGAGGACCGGAGUGGACGAAUCACUGGUGUUCGGGUUGUCAUGCCAAUGGCAUUGCCCGGUAGCUAAAUUCGGAAGAGAUAACCGCUGAAAGCAUCUAAGCGGGAAACUUGCCUCGAGAUGAGUCUUCCCUGGGGCUUAAAGCCCCCUGAAGGAACGUUAAAGACUAUGACGUUGAUAGGCUGGGUGUGUAAGUGCAGCGAUGUAUUGAGCUAACCAGUACUAAUGAUCCGUGAGGCUUAACCUU
rnacentral:rRNA from 1 species